CAGAUAUGCUGCAGUGAUCAAGAAUUUGCUGGCUCCAGACUUCUCGUAUGGAAUGUGGACGGUGGUUUAUGACGCGCCGAUAGAUCCUGACUCGUUGGCACCCCGAAGCGCCGGGGAGUCUGCCCUCCGGGAACACUUUGGAGACGUGGCUGCCACGAUUGCGCUCGUGGACUGCUAUGUUCGAGAGAGGACGUUUCUCGGCGAUGGUGGCGGGCCGUUCACUUUCUGUAUGUGGCACAUGAGCCCUCAACUGAAGUGAAGGCUUGUCAUCUCUGCACCUAUAAUUGC